AGACCAAGAACCCUCCACAUCCACAGUACAAAGAGAAGAAGGGGAGAGUGUUCGUGCAUUACUACAAUCCAUGCAGGACACUUCUAUAUUAUUAUUCGAGGAAGAUCAGGUUGAAAUCAAUUUGGAACCUCUGGUUGAGGAUUCUGUAUGUCCAGAAGAUGAGGAUGAGACUCAGAUUGAGGGACACACAUCAGAGGGACCAACACCACCAAAUCUAGAAACUCCUCAGAAUAUCAUGGUCAAUGACUCUGAGGAAGAUGAAA